UUCGCAAUGCCCGAAAGGGUGACAAUGCGACGCCGCGUGUGCGAUGAAGGCCUUCGGGUCGUAAAGCACUGUCGGCCGGGAGGAAUAUCAGGAGCUUUAACAGAGCUUCUGGUUGACAGUACCUCCAAAGGAAGCUCCGGCUAACUCCGUGCCAGCAGCCGCGGUAAUACGGAGGGAGCGAACGUUGUUCGGAUUCACUGGGCGUAAAGGGCGUGUAGGCGGCUUGGUAAGUCAGGGGUGAAAUCCCGCGGCUCAACCGCGGAGUUGCCUUUGAAACUGCCGAGCUUGAGGCCGUGAGAGGAGACUGGAAUUCCCAGUGUAGCGGUGAAAUGCAUAGAUAUUGGGAAGAACACCAGUGGCGAAGGCGAGUCUCUGGCACGGAUCUGACGCUGAGUGCGCGAAAGCUAGGGGAGCAAACGGGAUUAGAUACCCCGGUAGUCCUAGCCGUAAACGAUGGGCACUAAGUAGAGGGGUUUU
rnacentral:rRNA from 1 species